rnacentral:tRNA from 1 species
AAUGAGAUGCCUGAAAAAGGAUUAUCUUGAUAGGAUAAAUCAUGUAAACCCAUCUUUACUCUCAUUA